AAGAUGUGUCCUGUCGUUAUCUAUGACUGUGAGUACAAGGACAUCUAUAGGAGUACAAGGACAUCUAUAGGAGUACAAAAGGACAUCUAUAGGAGUACAAGGACAUCUUUAGGAGUACAAAAGGACAUCUAUAGGAGUACAAAAGGACAUAUAUAGGAGUACAAAAGGAAUUCUAUAGGAGUACAAGGACAUCUAUAGGAGUACAAGGACAUCUAUAGGAGUACAAAAGGACAUCUAUAGGAGUACAAGGACAUCUAUAGGAGUACAAGGACAUCUACAGGAGUACAA